UACAGAGGUCUCAAGCGUUUGUUCGGAUUCAUUGGGCGUAAAGGGUGCGUAGGCGGCGCGGUAAGUCGGGUGUGAAAUCUCGGAGCUUAACUCCGAAACUGCAUUCGAUACUGCCGUGCUUGAGGACUGGAGAGGAGACUGGAAUUUACGGUGUAGCGGUGAAAUGCGUAGAUAUCGUAAGGAAGACCAGUGGCGAAGGCGGGUCUCUGGACAGUUCCUGACGCUGAGGCA
rnacentral:rRNA from 1 species